AGAGUUUGAUCCUGGCUCAGGACGAACGCUGGCGGCGUGCUUAACACAUGCAAGUCGAACGGAAAGGCCCCUUUGGGGGUACUCGAGUGGCGAACGGGUGAGUAACACGUGAGUAACCUGCCCUUGACUUCGGGAUAACUUCAGGAAACUGGGGCUAAUACCGGAUAGGAAUCCUUGCUGCAUGGUGGGGGUUGGAAAGCUUCGGCGGUUUUGGAUGGACUCGCGGCUUAUCAGCUUGUUGGUGGGGUAGUGGCUUACCAAGGCUUUGACGGGUAGCCGGCCUGAGAGGGCGACCGGCCACAUUGGGACUGAGAUACGGCCCAGACUCCUACGGGAGGCAGCAGUGGGGAAUAUUGCACAAUGGGCGGAAGCCUGAUGCAGCGACGCCGCGUGCGGGAUGACGGCCUUCGGGUUGUAAACCGCUUUCAGCAGGGGCGAAGCUUUUGUGACGGUACCUGCAGAAGAAGCACCGGCUAACUACGUGCCAGCAGCCGCGGUGAUACGUAGGGUGCGAGCGUUGUCCGGAUUUAUUGGGCGUAAAGAGCUCGUAGGUGGUUGAUUGCGUCGGAAGUGAAAACUUGGGGCUUAACCCUGAGCGUGCUUUCGAUACGGGUUGACUUGAGGAAGGUAGGGGAGAAUGGAAUUCCUGGUGGAGCGGUGGAAUGCGCAGAUAUCAGAGGAACACCAGUGGCGAAAGCGGUUCUCUGGAUCUUUUCCUGACGCUGAGAGCGAAAGCGUGGGGAGCGAACAGCUUAGAUACCCUGUAGUCCACGCUGUAAACGGUGGGUACUAGGUGUGGGGUCCAUUCCACGGAUUCCGUGCCGUAGCUAACGCAUUAAGUACCCCGCCUGGGGA
rnacentral:rRNA from 1 species